rnacentral:rRNA from 1 species
AUGAGUUGCGAACGGGUGAGUAACGCGUAGGUAACCUGCCUGGUAGCGGGGGAUAACUAUUGGAAACGAUAGCUAAUACCGCAUAAUAGUAGAUGUUGCAUGACAUUUGCUUAAAAGGUGCAAUUGCAUCACUACCAGAUGGACCUGCGUUGUAUUAGCUAGUUGGUGGGGUAACGGCUCACCAAGGCGACGAUACAUAGCCGACCUGAGAGGGUGAUCGGCCACACUGGGACUGAGACACGGCCCAGACUCCUACGGGAGGCAGCAGUAGGGAAUCUUCGGCAAUGGACGGAAGUCUGACCGAGCAACGCCGCGUGAGUGAAGAAGGUUUUCGGAUCGUAAAGCUCUGUUGUAAGAGAAGAACGAGUGUGAGAGUGGAAAGUUCACACUGUGACGGUAUCUUACCAGAAAGGGACGGCUAACUACGUGCCAGCAGCCGCGGUAAUACGUAGGUCCCGAGCGUUGUCCGGAUUUAUUGGGCGUAAAGCGAGCGCAGGCGGUUAGAUAAGUCUGAAGUUAAAGGCUGUGGCUUAACCAUAGUACGCUUUGGAAACUGUUUAACUUGAGUGCAAGAGGGGAGAGUGGAAUUCCAUGUGUAGCGGUGAAAUGCGUAGAUAUAUGGAGGAACAC